rnacentral:rRNA from 1 species
CCUUGUGCCAGCAGCCGCGGUAAUACGAAGGGGGCAAGCGUUGUUCGGAAUUACUGGGCGUAAAGCGCGCGUAGGCGGCUUGUCAAGUCAGAUGUGAAAGCCCAGGGCUCAACCCUGGAACCGCAUUUGAUACUGGCUCGCUUGAGUAUGAGAGAGGUAAGCAGAAUUCCCAGUGUAGAGGUGAAAUUCGUAGAUAUUGGGAGGAAUACCGGUUGCGAAGGCGGCUUACUGGCUCAUUACUGACGCUGAGGCGCGAAAGCGUGGGGAGCAAACAGGAUUAGAUACCCUGGUAGUCCACGCCGUAAACGAUGUGCACUAGUUGUCGGGCAGUAUACUGUUCGGUGACCAAGCUAACGCAUUAAGUGCACCGCCUGGGGAGUACGGCCGCAAGGUAAAAACUCAAAGGAAUUGACGGGGACCCGCACAAGCGGUGGAGCAUGUUGCUUAAUUCGAUGAUACGCGAGAAACCUCACCUGCUCUUGACAUAUAUGUUGUGAUUUCUGGAAACAGAUUUCUUUGGUUCGCCCAGGCAUAUACAGGUGUUGCAUGGCCGUCGUCAGCNCGUGUCGUGAGAUGUUUGGUUAAGUCCAGCAACGAGCGCAACCCCUAUUGCUAGUUGCCAGCAUUUAGUUGGGGACUCUAGCGAUACUGCCGGUGAUAAGCCGGAGGAAGGUGGGGAUGACGUCAGGUCAUCAUGGCCCUUACGAGCAGGGCUGCAAACGUGCUACAAUGGUAAUGACAGAGGGCAGCGACACAGCAAUGUGGAGCGAAUCCCUAAAAGUUAUCUCAGUUCGGAUUGGGGGCUGCAACUCGCCCCCAUGAAGUCGGAAUCGCUAGUAAUCGUGGAUCAGAACGCCACGGUGAAUACGUUCCCGGGUCUUGUACACACCGCCCGUCAAGGGCGAAUU